rnacentral:sRNA from 1 species
UCCCGCCUUGAUGAUAAUGGCCUGAACCUCUGAACCUGUGUGAUGAUUCUAGAUGGUUCUGAGAUUCAUUGACUCAACAAAUGUCUCCCACUUCUACUUGACAGUGUUUAUCCUUGAUGCCAAAGAGAGAGGGGAAUUCUCCAUUACGUAAGAGCUUCAGGAAGAUGCAAAUCAAGGCCACCGUGAAGCAUCACCUCACACCUGUUAGAAUGACUGCCACCAAAAAGCAAAGGGGUAACAAGUGUUGACAAGCUUGUGGAGAGAUGCUGACCCACAUACGCUGUUGGUGGGAAUGUAAAUAGGUGCCGCCGUUCUGGAAAACUGUAUGGUAACUCCUCAAUCUGACUGGCAUUGGCAAAGAAAUGCAUGAGUAAAUUUUAUAUAUGCAUAUAUUAUAGGAAUAUUAUUCAGCACUUAAGACAUCGGGAAUGCAAUCUAUGACAACAUGGUUGAAUCUGAGAGACAUUGUGGCAGACACAGAACGCCAAUAAAGAGCAUUUUUGUAUGAAAAAAGACCAUUUGGAUUUUCCUGGGAGAAGGACACAGCUCAGUAGACAAGGAGUUAGACAAUUCCUAUAAG